UACGAAGGGGGCUAGCGUUGCUCGGAAUCACUGGGCGUAAAGCGCACGUAGGCGGCUUAUUAAGUCAGGGGUGAAAUCCUGGAGCUCAACUCCAGAACUGCCUUUGAUACUGAUGAGCUUGAGUCCGGGAGAGGUGAGUGGAACUGCGAGUGUAGAGGUGAAAUUCGUAGAUAUUCGGAAGAACACCAGUGGCGAAGGCGGCUCACUGGCCCGGUACUGACGCUGAGGUGCGAAAGCGUGGGGAGCAAACAGG
rnacentral:rRNA from 1 species